rnacentral:rRNA from 1 species
ACACAUGCAAGUCGAGGGGCAGCAUGAUUGAAGCUUGCUUCAAUUGAUGGCGACCGGCGCACGGGUGAGUAACGCGUAUCCAACCUUCCGUACACUCAGGGAUAGCCUUUCGAAAGAAAGAUUAAUACCUGAUGGUAUGAUGAGAUUGCAUGAUAUCAUCAUUAAAGAUUCAUCGGUGUACGAUGGGGAUGCGUUCCAUUAGGUAGUAGGCGGGGUAACGGCCCACCUAGCCUACGAUGGAUAGGGGUUCUGAGAGGAAGGUCCCCCACAUUGGAACUGAGACACGGUCCAAACUCCUACGGGAGGCAGCAGUGAGGAAUAUUGGUCAAUGGACGAGAGUCUGAACCAGCCAAGUAGCGUGAAGGAUGAAGGUCCUACGGAUUGUAAACUUCUUUUAUAAGGGAAUAAAACCUCCCACGUGUGGGAGCUUGUAUGUACCUUAUGAAUAAGCAUCGGCUAACUCCGUGCCAGCAGCCGCGGUAAUACGGAGGAUGCGAGCGUUAUCCGGAUUUAUUGGGUUUAAAGGGAGCGCAGACGGGUCGUUAAGUCAGCUGUGAAAGUUUGGGGCUCAACCUUAAAAUUGCAGUUGAUACUGGCGUCCUUGAGUGCGGUUGAGGUGUGCGGAAUUCGUGGUGUAGCGGUGAAAUGCUUAGAUAUCACGAAGAACUCCGAUUGCGAAGGCAGCACACUAAGCCGUAACUGACGUUCAUGCUCGAAAGUGUGGGUAUCAAACAGGAUUAGAUACCCUGGUAGUCCACACGGUAAACGAUGGAUACUCGCUGUUGGCGAUAUACAGUCAGCGGCUUAGCGAAAGCGUUAAGUAUCCCACCUGGGGAGUACGCCGGCAACGGUGAAACUCAAAGGAAUUGACGGGGGCCCGCACAAGCGG